rfam:Danio rerio chromosome 4, GRCz11 reference primary assembly.
UAGCUCAGUCGAUAGAGCAUGAGACUGUUAAUCUCAGCGUCGUGGGUUAGAGCCCCAC